GUACCCUUAUUCCUUGGUCUGAAGUAGAGCAACUGAUGAUCUAGGAGCAAAUAUUUGUGUGGAAACCUUCAACCUUCAGCAUGAGUUUUUGUAUAGUACAAUUUAAAGAAGAGAACUACUAUUAGCAUCCAACAUCCUCUCCUCUCCCCACUCAUGAGUUUGCAUUAAGAGAUAUGCUAUUCCUUCCUGAGGACUGCUUCAGCUAUGUGUUCCAGAAAUUUUGGGAGUAAUGGCAACACAUGCUGGGCACCUAGCUCCCUGGAGACUUGGAACAAAGACAGAAAACCCUGUCAAUGGAGUUCUGUGGUACAAGGGACCUUUAUGAAUUUAAAACCAGUUUGGAAUAGAAAGCAUCUAAAUGGGAGAGAGAACAGAGGAAAUCAAUAAAACAUGAAAAGGCAGACUGAAACAGAAUCUUUAAGCAGAAUCUUUAAUCCACACAAACAGCUGGGUGUUCCUGACAAUGGCUGGAGAUCAACUAGAGUCAAAAUGCUCAACAGUUUAAUGAACCAAUUCCAUUAGUAAGAAAAUUCAGUUAUAAUAAAGGCCAAACUAACAGAGAAGUUUUCAGCAACCACGACUGUUCUUGUCUCCUGUGGGAAACUGAAGUGGAUCUAGACACCAAGAGUCCACAGGUACUACCAACAUGUCAAUGUCAUA